rnacentral:rRNA from 1 species
UAAUAGCUCACUGGUCGAGUCGGCCUGCGCGGAAGAUGUAACGGGGCUAAACCAUGCACCGAAGCUGCGGCAGCGACACUAUGUGUUGUUGGGUAGGGGAGCGUUCUGUAAGCCUGCGAAGGUGACCUGUGAGGGUUGCUGGAGGUAUCAGAAGUGCGAAUGCUGACAUAAGUAACGAUAAAGCGGGUGAAAAGCCCGCUCGCCGGAAGACCAAGGGUUCCUGUCCAACGUUAAUCGGGGCAGGGUGAG